rnacentral:rRNA from 1 species
UUCUGGUUGAUCCUGCCAGAGGCGACCGCUAUUGGAGUUCGAUUAAGCCAUGCGAGUCGAGAGUCUUAGGGACUCGGCAUACUGCUCAGUAACACGUGGAUAACCUGCCCUGUGCUGGAGGAUAACCUCGGGAAACUGAGAAUAAUACUCCAUAGACCACUAUGCCUGGAAUGGUUUGUGGUUCAAAGCUCCGGCGGCACAGGAUGGGUCUGCGGCGUAUCAGGUUGUAGGGGGUGUAAAGGACCCUCUAGCCAUUGACGCGUACGGGUUGUGGGAGCAAUCGCCCGGAGAUGGAUUCUGAGACACGAAUCCAGACCCUACGGGGUGCAGCAGGCGCGGAAACUUCACACUGCGGGAAACCGUGAUGAGGGAACUCCAAGUGUUUGCACUAUGUGCAAUCUUUUCUUGACUUUUAAUAGGUCUUGGUAAUAAGGGGUGGGAAAGACCGGUGCCAGCCGCCGCGGUAAUACCGGCACCCCAAGUGGUCGUCGCUUUUAUUGGGCCUAAAACGUUCGUAGCCUGUUUGGUAAACCCGUGGGUAAAUCAACAUGCUCAACAUGUUGACUUCUGCGGAGACUGCCAGACUAGGGACCGGGAGAGGUGUGGGGUACUCAUGGGGUAGGGGUAAAAUCCUGUCAUCCCAUGAGGACCACCUGUUGCGAAGGCGCCACACUGGAACGGAUC